GGUCUGUAAAGUUGCCCGGAGCUGGGAGGAGACCUGAGGGGAAAAAAGACAGACCGGCUGGUUGAAGACACAGGAGGGAACACACGAGCUUGUCGGGUGCCCUGCACGCCAAGGGCAGAGUUCAGAAGCGGGCUGGGCAGCAAGUGGCUGCCGAGGAAAGGGCGGUGUCUGGGCGGCCUUGGAGGGCCUGGGUCCCUGGGCACCUCGGGCGAGCAGGCCCCCUUGCCCGGCUCUGCCACCCCCUGUCCGCUGGGAGGCUGUCAGCGGACACGAGCCCACCGCCUAAAGGCUUUGUCUUUCUCAUCCUAGAAGGAAGCAGCUUGAUGCGCUGAAGCCUGGAAACCACCAGGGAGAUGGACACACACUUGUCCCUGCCCCAUGGGGAGCCAGCUCUGCUCUGAGGCCACUGCCACCCUCCUCCAGUCAGAGCCCCAUCUCCUGUGUUAUGUCUACCGGACUUUGCCUCUGGAAGCUUCCGUCGGGGACCUGUCUUCCCUCCCCCACCGCCACGCGGCUCUCUCCCUGUGCUCGCUCACCUGCCCCCAGCCCUGCCGAACCUCGGAGCCCUCCUCCCCGUGCCCCCGGAGACCCCCACCAUCGGCAAAGCGGGGACAGGGGAGUACUUUUUCAACACGAACAGAUGGCAUCUGCGUGUCCGCGAGGACAUGAACGCUGCACUUCUGUCUGGAGCCGAGCAGCCGUCGGUGUCCAGGUGUUUGCUUCUCAGCCCCCAUCCUUACCCUCCUCGGGUACGAGUUCCUCAGAGCGCAGACUCCAGGGGAGUCAAUCUACCUUUUCUUGAACCCACCUCAGAAUCCCCUGGUGUAGCCCCAGCGCAGGGCCGUAAACAGACAAGACACAAUAUGUAUUUCUAGAUGUUGCUGUUCAAAGCGUUCACCCAGAGGCAGAGCUGAGCUAGCACCGGCCGGAUGAGCACAGGGGCUCGCCACCCGCAGGGAGGACAUUCCAGGAGCGGCCUAGAUGUCCCGAGGCCCCAGGGGGAGGGCGGGAGGCUGGAAGCCAGGAAGCCUGCUCAGGCCCUGCUCUGGCCCUCAGGAGCCGCACGGCCUCCGGCCUGUCUCUUAACCUCCUCAAGCCUCUGCUUCCUGAGGAGGUCGGCCCCAGUGAUCUCCAAGUUCCUUUCCAAUUGCAAGUCUCCUUUUUGCUGAGCCGUCCACAUUCCUUCUCCUGACCUUGUGACUGACAACUUUCAUUUGGUAAAUAACCCCCCAGCGUGGAGAGGCCCGAAGAGACAAGAGGCUGUCGUGGUCGUGACUUAGACUCACGCUGGGGAGGGUCCCUGGAAAUGUAUUCAAGCCGUCACACUGUUUGUCUUCAUUCUUCUCUAACACCCUGGUCACCCAUCGUUCUGCCACUGCAUUGUCCCUCUCUCAGUCAAGAACAGUGAAGUUUGGAAGUGCCAGGGUGCUGCACUGGCCGGGGCUCGCACACGACCCCUGCUCAAGGCAAGUCUGUGCAGUGGACAAGGAAUUUCUCAUCGUCAAACCUUGCACCUCGUUGCGUGCAGUUGAUCUUCCGCGCUGCCUGACCAGCUCUGCAGACCUCCAGUUAAGUCUGGGCUUCCUCCUCCUGAGAAAACGCUAGACCGGCCAGCAGCCCCACACUCACAGUCCGACGCAUCACCAAGAGAUGCUUUUGGCAACGCUGAGGAGAAGUUUGGGGGCAAUCAGUUCUAGAACCCUGAGAAGGGCACGUGCAUCCUGUCCCCUUGAGGGGCAGAACCCCCUCCACUGUCCCCAGUGCUCCCACCCCAAGAGAUGGGGAGGGGGUGCAGCCACCGGAGAGGCAGGAACAGACAAAAUAGGAAGCUCUCAGAGGGCAGUUUAAUUUUAGACUCAAGGCCAGGAAAUUCUUUCUAAAACAAUAAGACUGAUGGGCUUGGGCCUUGGCGAAAGGGCAGGCCUGACCGCUGCAGGUUUCAGAGAGAGAGAAAAAAGUUUGAAGUACAGAGAGCGGAGGCGGGAAGAUCGGAUUCUGCUCUCCGUGAAAAGCGGUGCUUGGUCUCCAGCCCGGCCACGCGGACCACAGCAGAGGCUGCCCAGGGAUGCCCUGGCCCUCAGGCAGCAGACCAGGUUGGGGAAGGGGGGUGACAGACCCUGCAGAUCCUCACACCAGCCUGAGACCACAGACCCCUCCACUCAAGAGCUUACUCAGUGGACCUGCCCCAGUCCUGGGCGCCUGGCCCUGACACUCCUGCUGAGAGAUUCCGGCACUGAGGACUUUACCCACUGCUUCCCAGGAUUCCCAGACAGAAGGAAGAGGCACGUGUGCUGAGCUUCCUAGAAACAAGCACAAGCCUUUCCCGAUUCCCAAGUGCAGGGACAGAGCAGACGCCCCAGCGACCACAUCCUAAGGCAUGUUGGGCGGAGGUGGAGAGCACGAACAGCACUGGUGAAUAGUGUUUAUAUGAAAACAGAAGCCACUUGAAAAAGAAGAAAUAUGUGUCACAGGACAGCCAGUGAAGAGCAGUGUGUUCAUCAGCCCUGGAAUUUUUUCAGGAAAUUGCUCCCCAUCGUUGGAAAAGGACCCCAGGAAGACCUCCCCGGGGGCAGAGCUGAAGAGCGGGAAGAGGCCAGAGGACCCUAGUCCAAGGGUGACCCUAGCCGUGGUCACCUAUUCAGUGUUUGUUUCUGAAAAAUGCAUCAGACUGUGCACUGGGCACCGGGCACUGAGCAAGAAAAGGGUGCCUACAGCAGGUCAGCCUGGACACGGCCCAGAUGCUGUGCAGAUCACGGCCGUGGGCGCCAGGCUCCCUCCUACAGAAGCCUUUCUGAUUUUUAAAGUUUUAAAGUCCUCGUGAAUCAUCAUCGACCCACACACCCCUGCUUCAGAGGUGAGACCUAAACACUGACGGCAUUGAUUGUGUCACAGUGAGAAUGGCCCGACCAGGAGCAGAUUCCUCAGGGAAAAGUUGCUCACCCCCUCCAGGGCCCCGCAGGGCCACCCAGCCCUUUGGGAAUUGUCCAGGUGUGGGAAGCGCAGCUUUGCGAGAGUCAGCCAGCCCCCUAAUUUCCUCCAAAAAGCCCUCAGGACCCCUGAGUCAUCACAGACCUCAAUCAUUUAUUCAACAAGCACACUGAUGGCCUCCUUUGCCAGGACCUUGUUAUUCAUUCAGGCCGUAAUUACUGGGAGCCUGCUCUGGUGCAGGCACCAUUCUGGGGGCUGGAGACACACAGGUUAACCAACACCCCGGGCCACAUGGACUUCACUUCCUGUCAGACUCAGGACAAAGCGGAGAGAGACAGUCUGCAUCUUCAGGCAGUGGGAGAAGACAGGCUCCCGUGUAACUAUAACAUCACGUGAUGAGUUUGCCAACAGCAUGGGGGGCAAUCAGCAGUCAGUUCUGCCGAGGUCUGGGGAGUAGAACACUGCGGAAGGUCGCCCAGGACGAGGUGAGACCACCUGUCCCCAUGGACGUCCCGAGCCUCCCACCAGCAGCAGGAGACCUGGACCCUUCUGAAUUCCUGUUUGACUUGUAUAUCUGUGAAAGAAAGCACUUUUGGAAUGGGCAGCCUGGUCCUGGAGCUCAGCUCAGA